GUAACCCAGAAGUAAAUGUAUGGUUUUUUGUUCGUAAUGAAAUCUCACCAAAAUCCUUAUUUCCAUUUAUGGAAAGGUAUUUUUGUUUACCUUUUAUUGGUUUUGUUUGUACGGGGUUUACUGCCCCCUUCUGGAGAUCACGCGAGACUUAAGACGUGAUUCACGUCUUGUCUUCAGUUCGCGCCAUCUCCCGUUAAAGAAGGAAUUAAUGUUCUGGAGACCUGCAGUCACGGAUUUGUUAUUGUCCAUUCAUGUCAGGUAUGUGCAAUGAUGUCGUGUCCGCGGAGUUCGCGCCAUCUCCCGUUAAAGAAGGAAUUAAUGUUCUGGAGACCUGCAGUCACGGAUUUGUUAUUGUCCAUUCAUGUCAGAAUAAAACAGAGAGAACCCGAA